UGCAAGGACUUUCUAGAUUUUUCUCUGCUCCCACUGUCGUUGGGAAAUGAUGAGCUUACAAGAGGAAAGCAAGGCCUUCAAGGUGUUUGCAUCAUUUCAGGAGUGAAAGCUCUCAGAAAACCACCAGAUCUUGCAAGAAUUGCCAUAAAGUCGCAAGAGUUGGCAAUGCUGCUGUCAUGGAGACAGGAGUUGGCAUCACCCACUUUUCCAUUUACACCCCUUGCCAGGGAGGCUCUGACCUGAUUGUUUCUUCCUGCUGUAUAGAAGAGCUUAUGGAUUUCACCUCGUCAUUCCCCUGAGCUUCAUAGGAGAUGCACCACGGGGAAGCUCUGUUUAUACCCACCCGCAGCCCAUGGAGGACCCCACGCCAGAGCAGGUGGAGGCACCUGAAAGAGGCUGUGACUCCGUGAGGGACCCACGCUGGAGCAGUCUGCUCCUGAAGGUCUGCAUACUGUGGAAGGGACCCACGCUGGAGCAGUUCAUGAAGAACUGCAGCCCAUGGGAAGGACUCACAUUGGGGAGGUUGGUGGAGGACUGUCUCCCAUGGGAGGGACCCCACGCUGGAGCAAGGGAAGACUGUGAGGAGUCCUCCCUCUGAGGAAGAAGGAGCAGCAGAGACAACGUGUGAUGAACUGACCACAACCCCCAUUCCCUGUCCCUCCCCCUGCACCACUGAGGGAGGAAGGAGAGAAAUUGACGCCAAAGCUGCUCUGCUGCCAAGCUGGGCUAAGCGGGUGUACUGAAAAGUGGGUUCAGACGCACAGAACUCACGUUUCCAGGCGCAUCACCAGGAUUACAUGUUCCCAUGGAGCUGAGUAAGGACACGGUAUUUGUACUCGCUGCAGGAAGAACCAACGGAUAGCCAGGUUUCAUGCCUACAACCAAGAUAUUUGAUCUACCUCUCACAGCAAAAAGCAGGAAUUUAAUACAUCUUCUGGAGACAUGAGGAUAUUUAAUCUGUGGGACCAGGAGAGAGAUGAAGGACAGCAAUGUGAGAUGGGUUCUAGUAAAAGCAAGGACUCUUCUCAUGAGACACAUAUCUCAGCGUAAGCAAAUUGGUAUUCCACCUGCUAAUAGCUUUAAAGUAGCAGCUGCUGCUUACUUAAAGCAGCAGUAUGCAUUCUUGCACAUAGGAAGUCAUUAAAGGUUUUACACUUGCAUGCUUUGGGCAGGAGGACUCUUGGAGGGGAGCUUCUCCGAAGGAAUUUAUUUCCCAGCUGGCAUGGGUGAACUGCAACAGCGAUGAGGAUGGGCUCCAGAGCCCCGUGUGCUUUGUCCAGAAUGGCUAGAAACGGGAGGAGAAUUUGCACAUUCAUACACAGGAGUUUAGCACAGUGGAAGUAAGGAGCACAUCCCAGGUAAAGUGGAAUUCAGCAUCCUCAGCAGGUUAGAGCACUGGAGCAUCAGCUGCUUUGGAGCAGUCACAGAAAAGCCCAGACUUCCCACAGCUUUAUUUGUAUUAUCCCAGAACCAUCCUAACCUGCGUUUGUGCACUGCUCCUGCUCUACCUCGCUUUCCUCACUCUGCUUCACUCAGCACACCCUCCGGCUGUCUCCUCCUUCCCCCUGCCAAUCCCUCUCCUGCCUCCUCUUCCCAAAACCAUGACGGCAAACGACUAUACUGAGCUCGCUUUGCCCGCUAGGUCUGCAUCUCAUCCUGUCCCUCCUCACCCGCCUCUGCUGCGGCUGUUCGCAUCUAGGCUGCUGGGCCUGCCGCUCCCCUCGGCAGCGCUUGGCAUUGCCACAGAGCAGUGGGCGACUCUGCCGGUGUGGGAAUUUACAGAUCCACCUCCUUCAGAGACGCUGUUUGCGCUGCCCUCGUGCCCAGGAGCAUCAGGCACCCGCUGUUUUGGGUUCUGUACAAACAUGCAGGAAGACAACUCCUGGCAUGAAAAACUUAUAGCCUAAGCAAGAACGAGGCAGAACAUGCAGGCAGCUUGAACAGAACAAAGCGUAGGGCCAGGGUGGAGGCACAUGGUAACAACUAAAAGUUUGCUGUAUCUCGCAGGCUUCAAAGCUACGGAAAAAAAUAUCAUGUGAAAUGAAAAUAAAGAGACUUUUAGCAAAACAUCCCCUCGAGUAUAGAUCUUACAUUCAGGAAGCUCAAUAUGAACGGUUUUCCCACUCGUUAUAUACCAGAUUUCAUACACGUAUGAAGAAUAAAUAUAAAUUGCUUAGAAUCCAACGUUUUAUGUGAACCUGUAAAUAAGUAUUCCUCUGACGUCUGUGCCUCAAACACGGCAACUUUGGGCUCGUGCAUGAGAACCUGUAAUCUAGGAAUUGACUGAACAAGAAAACCGGGCUGAUGACAUUCACUGCUCUGGCAGGAGAGGAGUAAACACGUUAAUUAAUACAAGGUAACUCUCUCUUCACCACAUCAGAUGUUGUUAUUAUCCAAAAAACCCAUGCCUAGAAGAAGCAGAGAGCAAUUCUCAGUGUCUCCACAGCUUGUCGCUCUCUCACUCCACAAUACCAGCUAUUUCCUAGCGAGAGCUUCUGGGUGCAGGGAGGCACAGCUCCGGGACGCAGCCCUGGCACCCGUGCUGGACACCCCGGCAAAGCACCCAGCCACAGAAACACGCGAAAGGAAUGAAUUCUGCCGCUCUGCUCGGCCGCGGACCCUCUCGGUUUACCCAGGUAGCU